GCCGGGUCAAUUGAUUUUCAUCAAUUCAAUAUUGGCCGCGAAUACAGAGGAAGGAGAUACCGACGGUUUGACUCCCGCCAUGUUCAUCGAAGGUGAAGGUCCGGAGAAUGCUUCGUUUCGUGUUCUUAACCUUGACACACAAGACGAAGAGAUUAUUGAUGUGAACCGAUUGAUGAUACCGCUCGGUUUGAUGCCAUGCAUUCUACAAGCCAUGGACAAUGGAAGUGGAGAUGAAAACUAUAUUGAAAAUGAUUUGGAGUAUGACGAUGAUGUUGACGGCGGCGACAACGAUGAUGACCAACAAAAUGAAUAGCUAAAUCCUUUAGAACUAAGUGGUAAUGAUAGCAAGGCGAAGAAGAAUGAAAUGACGAGUCGGAGUUCAAGUGCAAAUGAAAAUUAAAAUACCCAACACAACGACAUAAGCGGAAUGAAAGACAUAAUUGAAUGGAAAACAGAAAGAAAAUAGAUAUGAAAAAUCAUCUUAGCAAGUACAAUGACAACGUGAAAUUGUGGAAAUGAAAAAUAAAAAUAAAAACGAAAAGAAGGAAAAUUGGAAAAGAAAUUCAACGCCACAAAUUUGAAUGUGGACAAAUGCAAGAACAAAACGAAUAAAAAUUACCAAUUUUCUUUGGUUUUGCAAUUCGAUGCCAAAUAA